UACGUAGGUCCCGAGCGUUGUCCGGAUUUAUUGGGCGUAAAGCGAGCGCAGGUGGUUUAUUAAGUCUGGUGUAAAAGGCAGUGGCUCAACCAUUGUAUGCAUUGGAAACUGGUAGACUUGAGAGCAGGAGAGGAGAGUGGGAUUCCAUGUGUAGCGGUGAAAUGCGUAGAUAUAUGGAGAAACACCGGUGGCGAAAGCGGCUCUCUGGCCUGUAACUGACACUGAGGCUCGAAAGCGUGGGGAGCAAACGGG
rnacentral:rRNA from 1 species